GGAAAUAAAGGCUGACCCUGGAACAUUUCAAUAAAGAUGCAGCCUGCACCCCUAGCAGAGGAAACAAGACAGCUUCAAGGAAAUGUCCUAGUGGAUGCUCCAAGGUCUGCAGAGGAAAAGAAGAACUGGCAGAUUGGAGAAGAGUGGUGUAAGGACUGAAGAUGACCGAAGCAUUCGGUUGGAACCCUAGAGGACUGCAUGGCCUAUCAGAAUAGGAUGUCCCCCAUUCUUUCUUUGUUAACUGGAAACUGCCACUCCUAUCGCUCUGAGAAGAAAAAAGGAAAAAAUGAGUGGAGGGGACCUCAAUGCAAACACCCAAUUUCUAGCAGUUACUAUGAGAAUGAGCAAAUAUGGUAAACUCAAUGGAAGGUAUCUGUUUUUCUAUUUCUACAAUAUUUUUAGUUUUAGCAGGCAAGCAAUAAUAAUCAUGUAAUGGAUAAGAGUAAUGACAAUAACUUACAAUUGAACUUUUAUUUUGUGUCAUGAUUACUCAUGGUUAAAUUCAUGAGACACUUAUGCAUGGAAUAGCAUACAUAGUUGUAUAUGCAGUUAAAAGGUAAGAGUCACAUAUUAAGGAAAACUUAAAGAACUUGUGGAAGAGCUGAGGAUAUUACCCAUAAUAUAGCACAAAAGUUUCAGAAGUGGAAAAUCUGAAGGAGAGAAUAAGGGAUGUGGAUGUCAGAGUACGAUGCAAUCAUCUUUCAUUAGAACUCUAGAAAGAGAGAAUAGAGAGAAAGAAAUAGAAGUGAUAUUCAAAACCAAGGGACCAAACAAAGGAAUGAAUCCAUAAGUAGAGGAAACACUAUUUAUACCAAGCAGGAUAAAUGAAAAGAAAUCCACACUAGGCAUAAUGGAGGCAAAGAAAAAAUUCUUAAAAACAUCCAAAGAAAAUGAGAGAUCACCUCCAAAAGGAAGACUAUAAGCUUAAAGCAAAAUUCUCAGUAGCAACAAUGGAAGGAAAAAGCAGGGAAUUAUAUCCUCAAAAUCCUGAGAGAAAACACAUGUCAAUCUAGAAUUUUACCUCGUAAAAUCUACCCUUCAAGAAUGAGGGUUUAUUUUCAGAAACCAAAACCCACCACCCACAGCCUAUACUAGAAAAUUCCAGACAGACCUCAGGAGAAAGAAAAAUUACUACUAACAUAAAAUCUGAAGUGCAUGAAGGAAGGACAAAGAGUUCUAAAUUCAUUUGCACUUAAUGAAAAUAGCUUUCAUGUAAAACAAAAAUGAGUAGAAUUGAUUAACAAUAUAGAGAAUGUUUCCAACACACUUUUCAUUAAUAGCUUAAAUAGACAAAAGUGAUUUUAAAAAUAUUUGGGUAAUACUGUUAAUAGUUUGAAUAUUUGUAUGUGUAAAGCUCUGCACUUGACACUCAGGGCACACACAUUCCUCUCAAACACACAGGAAAUGAUUACAAACACCGAGCACAUGCUACAUCAGUGGUUCUCACACUACCUCUGAAGGCAGACCAGGUUUUCUCAAGGUUUUGGUAACUUAAUUUUGAAAUAACUUUUUUUCAGUGCUGAGGACUAAACACAUAGCCUCAUACAUGUAAGGCAAGUACUCUGCCACUGAGCUACAUCCCCACCCUGAAAUAAUUUUAACUGUUCAGAAAAGUUGCAAGAAGAAUAGGAAGAAAUCUCUACAUCCUUCAAACAGAUUGACCCAUGCCAAUCUGCUGUUAUUUCCACUUCUAUCUAUGCAUCUAUAUAUCUAUGUAUUCUCUUUCUCCUAAAGUGUUAAAGAAUAGUUUGUAGAUAUUAUGAUUCUUAAAGAUUUAUGUGGCUAUUUUCUAGCAACAAAUGUGUUAUCUUUUAUAGCA